rnacentral:rRNA from 1 species
AGAGUUUGAUCAUGGCUCAGGAUGAACGCUAGCGGCAGGCUUAACACAUGCAAGUCGAGGGGCAGCGUGGAGUAGCAAUACUCUGACGGCGACCGGCGAAAGGGUGAGUAACGCGUGAGCAACAUACCCGGUAGUGGAGGAUAGUCGAUGGAAACGUCGUGUAAUACUCCGUAACAACAGGGACCGCAUGAUCCUUGUUUAAUAGAUUUAUUGCUAUCGGAUUGGCUCGCGUACCAUUAGCUAGUCGGCGGGGUAACGGCCCACCAAGGCGACGAUGGUUAGGGGUUCUGAGAGGAAGGUCCCCCACAUUGGAACUGAGACACGGUCCAGACUCCUACGGGAGGCAGCAGUGAGGAAUAUUGGACAAUGGCCGGAAGGCUGAUCCAGCCAUGCCGCGUGCGGGAAGACGGCCCUAUGGGUUGUAAACCGCUUUUGUUGGGGAGCAAUAAGGUCCACGUGUGGAUCGAUGAGAGUACCCAGCGAAUAAGCAUCGGCUAACUCCGUGCCAGCAGCCGCGGUAAUACGGAGGAUGCGAGCGUUAUCCGGAUUUAUUGGGUUUAAAGGGUGCGUAGGCGGACUUUUAAGCGUGAGGUGAAAUGCGCGGGCUCAACCUGUGAACUGCCUCGCGAACUGGGAGUCUGGAAUGUCCGUGCCGUGGGAGGAAUGUGUGGUGUAGCGGUGAAAUGCAUAGAGAUCACACAGAACACCGAUUGCGAAGGCAUCUCACGAACGGAUGAUUGACGCUGAGGCACGAAAGCGUGGGGAUCAAACAGGAUUAGAUACYCUGGUAGUCCGCACGGUAAACGAUGGAUGCYCGCUGUUUGCGAUAUAGUGUGAGCGGCCAAGCGAAAGCGUUAAGCAUCCCACCUGGGGAGUACGCCGGCAACGGUGAAACUCAAAGGAAUUGACGGGGGCCCGCACAAGCGGAGGAACAUGUGGUUUAAUUCGAUGAUACGCGAGGAACCUUACCCGGGCUUGAACUGCAGCAGAACGAUUGAGAGAUCAUGAGGUCCUUCGGGACUGCUGUGGAGGUGCUGCAUGGUUGUCGUCAGCUCGUGCCGUGAGGUGUCGGCUUAAGUGCCAUAACGAGCGCAACCCCUCUCUUCAGUUGCCAUCACUUCGGGUGGGCACUCUGGAGACACUGCCACCGUAAGGUGUGAGGAAGGUGGGGAUGACGUCAAAUCAGCACGGCCCUUACGUCCGGGGCUACACACGUGUUACAAUGGGUGGUACAGAGCGUCGGCCGCCGGCAACGUCGGUCCAAUCGUGAAAUCCAUCCUCAGUUCGGACUGGGGUCUGCAACCCGACCCCACGAAGCUGGAUUCGCUAGUAAUCGCGCAUCAGCCAUGGCGCGGUGAAUACGUUCCCGGGCCUUGUACACACCGCCCGUCAAGCCAUGAAAGCCGGGGGCGCCUGAAGUCCGCGACCGCAAGGAGCGGCCUAGGGCGAAACUGGUAAUUGGGGCUAAGUCGUAACAAGGUAGCCGUA